rnacentral:rRNA from 1 species
AGAAAAUCACGGGUAAAUACGGGCCAGCAGCCGCGGUAAUACGUAGGUGGCCAGGGUUAUCCGGAUUUUUUGGGGGUAAAGAGAAUGCAGGGGGUUUUUUUAGUUUGAUGUGAAAGCCUUCGGCUCAACCGAAGAAGUGGAUUGGGAAAUGGGAAACUUGAGUACAGAAGAGGGCAGUGGAACUCCAUGUGUAGCGGUGGAAUGCGUAGAUAUAUGGAAGAACACCAGUGGCGAAGGCGGCUGCCUGGUCUGUAACUGACGCUGAGACUCGAAAGCAUGGGUAGCGAACAGGAUUAGAUACCCUGGUAGUCCAUGCCGUAAACGAUGAGUGCUAGGUGUUGGAGGGUUUCCGCCCUUCAGUGCCGGAGCUAACGCAUUAAGCACUCCGCCUGGGGAGUACGACCGCAAGGUUGAAACUCAAAGGAAUUGACGGGGGCCCGCACAAGCGGUGGAGCAUGUGGUUUAAUUCGAAGCUACGCGAAGAACCUUACCAGGUCUUGACAUCUUGCGCCAACCCUAGAGAUAGGGCGUUUCCUUCGGGAACGCAAUGACAGGUGGUGCAUGGUCGUCGUCAGCUCGUGUCGUGAGAUGUUGGGUUAAGUCCCGCAACGAGCGCAACCCUUGUUACUAGUUGCCAGCAUUAAGUUGGGCACUCUAGUGAGACUGCCGGUGACAAACCGGAGGAAGGUGGGGACGACGUCAGAUCAUCAUGCCCCUUAUGACCUGGGCUACACACGUGCUACAAUGGACGGUACAACGAGCAGCGAACUCGCGAGGGCAAGCAAAUCUCUUAAAACCGUUCUCAGUUCGGAUUGCAGGCUGCAACUCGCCUGCAUGAAGUCGGAAUCGCUAGUAAUCGCGGAUCAGCAUGCCGCGGUGAAUACGUUCCCGGGCCUUGCACUCACCGCCGGUCA